GGAGUUAGCCGGUGCUUCUUCUGUGAGUGAUGUCCUUCCUGCCGGUUAUUGACCCGCAGGCCUUCUUCCUCACUGAAAGUGCUUUACAACCCGAAGGCCUUCUUCACACACGCGGCAUGGCUGGAUCAGGGUUGCCCCCAUUGUCCAAUAUUCCCCACUGCUGCCUCCCGUAGGAGUCUGGGCCGUGUCUCAGUCCCAGUGUGGCUGAUCAUCCUCUCAGACCAGCUACGGAUCGUCGCCUUGGUGAGCCGUUACCUCACCAACCAGCUAAUCCGACAUAGGCUCAUCCGAUAGCGCGAGGCCCGAAGGUCCCCCGCUUUCCCCCGUAGGGCGUAUGCGGUAUUAGCCUGGGUUUCCCCAGGUUAUCCCCCACUACCGGGCAGAUUCCUAUGCAUUACUCACCCGUCCGCCGCUCGCCACCAGGGAGCAAGCUCCCCGUGCUGCCGCUCGACUUGCAUGUGUUAGGCCUGCCGCCAGCGUUCAAUCUGAGCCAGANACAACACUNANACAGCGGCGGUCGUCGACGACGGCGACUAG
rnacentral:rRNA from 1 species